rnacentral:rRNA from 1 species
UACAGAGGUGGCAAGCGUUGUUCGGAAUUACUGGGCGUAAAGGGCGCGUAGGCGGCCUUCUAAGUCAGACGUGAAAUCCCCAGGCUUAACUUGGGAACUGCGUCUGAUACUGGAUGGCUUGAAUCCGGGAGAGGGAUGCAGAAUUCCAGGUGUAGCGGUGAAAUGCGUAGAUAUCUGGAGGAAUACCGGUGGCGAAGGCGGCAUCCUGGACCGAGAUUGACACUGAUGAGCGAAAGCUAGGGGAGCAAACGGG